rnacentral:lncRNA from 1 species
AUCAGUUUCUCACUCAUCAGUGACUCAGAUGUCAAUGUCGGUAGACUCAGUAGUCAGAACUCAGUAUUUAGUCCUAGCACAAUCUCAGUUACAGUUAUGUUCAUGUUAGUCAGUCAGUUAGUAUUGUUCAUGCAUAUGAACCUAUUGCAUUCACCCUACCUCACUUGCAUACCCAGUACAUUCAAAGUACUGACGCAUUUGCGUUAUGGUGUCUUAUACCAUAUAUUUAGAAACACGAGCUCCAGAGAACCAGUAGCAUCCCAGUUCAGCGAUCAGAGUUAGCAGUGAGUCAUCAUCCUUCGAGGACAUGAUUUCAUUACUAAUUCAGUUUUCAGUUUAUUUCAGUAGUCGAAGUUAGUUGGGGACAUGUCCCAUCAACUCCUUAUUCAGACAGUUUAGAGGCUUUCAGACUAUAGCAUGUUAGACAGUUAUUUUGGAUUUAUUUUGAUAUUGUUAUACCAUUUUCAGACA